rnacentral:lncRNA from 1 species
CAACUAAUCCAAAGGACACCAAUCUUACCAUCAAACAUACUCAAACAGAGCAAACUAGUCUCAUAAGUGAUGAGGUACAUAAGCUCAAAUAAGUCCAUAUAAAACAUACCAUGAUGAAAAAUAAAGUCUUAAGCAGUCUCACAUUCACUAGUAACAAUGCCUACAUGAUAAACAAGACAAACAAACGGAAUUGAAUAUUAAAUUCACCUUAGGUUUG